rfam:Leminorella grimontii ATCC 33999 = DSM 5078 strain ATCC 33999 GLGR.assembly.14, whole genome shotgun sequence.
AUCUAUGGUGAGCUGGGCGAAGGCACCAUAAGGUGCGCCGGUUCCCUGUGACGCCGGUAAGGCUAACUUCGUUCAGUUCACCACCCGU